AAUACCAAUCGGUCAAUGCAGGAAACCAACCCCGCCUCGUGCCAUUCCCCAUCUUUGUAUUUGUGUUAGGCCCAGCUCAAGGUAGAGGAAUAACAGGAGGCCAGAAAGAAUGAAGCUAGAAGGCAGAAGGCAUUUGAUCUGAAGGCAUGGUUCACAGAAAGUUGUUGAAGUGAAAGAUGAAGAGGAAUUUGUGGAGGAGCUGAAGACAUGACGUGGAAGAAAGAAGAAAGCAAACCCUAAACAUUAUAAUGAUGGAGACUGCUUGAUAUCUUGUUGUUUCAAGAAAUUCUGAUUAAGCUCUCAACCCGUGACCGAGUACUGCCCUGCCUAGCCACACGUCCAGGAUGCGGAAGAUGCGGCGCUUGCUGGAAAGCUGGUCAAGUAGGGCCCCCACUGUGUGUUUUAGCAGAUUGAUCCUGCACAUCACACUAACUGCUAGAAAUAAGUGGACUCAGAACAAUUUGCAAUCAUCAGUUGGAUAUUUGACGACUACAAUAUAUGCUGUUUUCUAUAUUGAGUUUGUAUAUUCGAUCUCACCACUUGUUAGCUUCCU